AUUGAACGCUGGCGGUAUGCUUAACACAUGCAAGUCGAACGGCAGCACGGGAGCUUGCUCCUGGUGGCGAGUGGCGGACGGGUGAGUAAUGCAUAGGAAUCUGCCUAGUAGUGGGGGAUAACGUGGGGAAACUCACGCUAAUACCGCAUACGCCCUACGGGGGAAAGCAGGGGAUCUUCGGACCUUGCGCUAUUAGAUGAGCCUAUGUUGGAUUAGCUAGUUGGUGAGGUAAUGGCUCACCAAGGCGACGAUCCAUAGCUGGUCUGAGAGGAUGAUCAGCCACACUGGGACUGAGACACGGCCCAGACUCCUACGGGAGGCAGCAGUGGGGAAUAUUGGACAAUGGGCGAAAGCCUGAUCCAGCAAUACCGCGUGUGUGAAGAAGGCCUGAGGGUUGUAAAGCACUUUCAAUAGGAAGGAAUACCUAUCGGUUAAUACCCGGUAGACUGACAUUACCUAUACAAGAAGCACCGGCUAACUACCGUCG
rnacentral:rRNA from 1 species